rnacentral:rRNA from 1 species
UCGAGCGGCAGCGCGGGGCAACCUGGCGGCGAGCGGCGAACGGGUGAGUAAUGCAUCGGAACAUGUCCAUGUCGUGGGGGAUAGCCCGGCGAAAGCCGGAUUAAUACCGCAUACGCCCGAGAGGGGAAAGUGGGGGACCGCAAGGCCUCACGCGAUUGGGUUGGCCGAUGUCCGAUUAGCUAGUUGGCGGGGUAAGAGCCCACCAAGGCGAUGAUCGGUAGCUGGUCUGAGAGGAUGAUCAGCCACACUGGGACUGAGACACGGCCCAGACUCCUACGGGAGGCAGCAGUGGGGAAUUUUGGACAAUGGGGGCAACCCUGAUCCAGCCAUUCCGCGUGAGUGAAGAAGGCCUUCGGGUUGUAAAGCUCUUUUGUCCGGAACGAAACGGUGCUCGUGAAUAUCGAGCGCUACUGACGGUACCGGAAGAAUAAGCACCGGCUAACUACGUGCCAGCAGCCGCGGUAAUACGUAGGGUGCGAGCGUUAAUCGGAAUUACUGGGCGUAAAGCGUGCGCAGGCGGUUUUGUAAGCCAGAUGUGAAAUCCCCGGGCUUAACCUGGGAAUGGCAUUUGGGACUGCAAGGCUGGAGUGCGGCAGAGGAGACUGGAAUUCCCGGUGUAGCAGUGAAAUGCGUAGAUAUCGGGAGGAACAUCAGUGGCGAAGGCGGCCCUCUGGUCCAGUACUGACACUCAAGUGCGAAAGCGU